rnacentral:tRNA from 1 species
GCAGUCGUGGUUCAGUGGUAGAAUUCUUGCCUUCCGUGUGAGAGACCCGGGUUCAGUUCCCAGCCAAUACA